GAAACGACUGCUAAGACUGGAUAGGAAAUAAUGAGGCAUCUCGUUAUUCUUAAAAGACCUUCGCAAGAAGGUAUGCUUAAAGAGGGGCUUGCGCCACAUUAGUUUGUUGGUAAGGUAACGGCUUACCAAGACGAUGAUGUGUAGCUGGACUGAGAAGUUGAACAGCCACAUUGGGACUGAGACACGGCCCAAACUCCUACGGGAGGCAGCAGUAGGGAAUUUUCGGCAAUGGAGGAAACUCUGACCGAGCAACGCCGCGUGAACGAUGAAGUAUUUCGGUAUGUAAAGUUCUUUUAUUAAAGAAGAAACGCUAGUGGAAAAACUAGUUUGACGUUAUUUAAUGAAUAAGCCCCGGCAAACUAUGUGCCAGCAGCCGCGGUAAUACAUAGGGGGCGAGCGUUAUCCGGAAUUAUUGGGCGUAAAGGGUGCGUAGGCGGUUUAGUAAGUCUCUAGUUUAAAUUCAACGCUUAACGUUGUCCUGCUAGAGAAACUGCUAAGACUGGAGUAAGAUAGAGGCAAGCGGAAUUCCAUGUGUAGCGGUAAAAUGUGUAAAUAUAUGGAGGAACACCAGAGGCGUAGGCGGCUUGCUGGGUCUUUACUGACGCUGAGGCACGAAAGCGUGGGGAGCAAACAGGAUUAGAUACCCUGGUAGUCCACGCCGUAAACGAUGAGUACUAAGUGUCGGGGGUCUCCUCGGUACUGAAGUUAACACAUUAAGUACUCCGCCUGAGUAGUACGUACGCAAGUAUGAAACUUAAAGGAAUUGACGGGAUCCCGCACAAGCGGUGGAUCAUGUUGUUUAAUUCGAAGAUACACGAAAAACCUUACCAGGUCUUGACAUUAUUCUGCGAAGCUAUAGAAAUAUAGUGGAGGUUAUCAGAAUAACAGGUGGUGCAUGGUUGUCGUCAGCUCGUGUCGUGAGAUGUUAGGUUAAGUCCUAAAACGAGCGCAACCCUUGUCGUUAGUUACCAGCACGUUAUGGUGGGGACUUUAGCGAGACUGCCAAUGAAAAAAUUGGAGGAAGGUGAGGAUUACGUCAAAUCAUCAUGCCCCUUAUGAUCUGGGCUACAAACGUGAUACAAUGGCUAUUACAAAGAGCAGCUGAAACGUGAGUUGUUAGCUAAUCUCAAAAAAAUAGUCUCAGUUCGGAUUGAAGUCUGCAACUCGACUUCAUGAAGUUGGAAUCGCUAGUAAUCGCGAAUCACAUGUCGCGGGAAUACGCUGACGGGGUUUUGUACACACCGCCCGUCA
rnacentral:rRNA from 1 species